rnacentral:rRNA from 1 species
GUUCACUCCUGCGGGAGGCAGCAGUGGGGAAUUUUGGACAAUGGGCGAAAGCCUGAUCCAGCAAUGCCGCGUGAGUGAAGAAGGCCUUCGGGUUGUAAAGCUCUUUUGUCAGGGAAGAAACGGUGAAAGCUAAUAUCUUUUGCUAAUGACGGUACCUGAAGAAUAAGCACCGGCUAACUACGUGCCAGCAGCCGCGGUAAUACGUAGGGUGCAAGCGUUAAUCGGAAUUACUGGGCGUAAAGCGUGCGCAGGCGGUUUUGUAAGUCUGAUGUGAAAUCCCCGGGCUCAACCUGGGAAUUGCAUUGGAGACUGCAAGGCUAGAAUCUGGCAGAGGGGGGUAGAAUUCCACGUGUAGCAGUGAAAUGCGUAGAUAUGUGGAGGAACACCGAUGGCGAAGGCAGCCCCCUGGGUCAAGAUUGACGCUCAUGCACGAAAGCGUGGGGAGCAAACAGGAUUAGAUACCCCGGUAGUCCCAUGA